UAACGACUCUCGGCAACGGAUAUCUUGGCUCUCGCAUCGAUGAAGAACGCAGCAAAAUGCGAUACUUGGUGUGAAUUGCAGAAUCCCGUGAAUCAUCGAGUUUUUGAACGCAAGUUGCGCCCGAAGCCUUCCGGCCGAGGGCACGUCUGCCUGGGUGUCACGC
rnacentral:rRNA from 2 species